rnacentral:RNase_MRP_RNA from 1 species
GGGCAUUCAGAAGGCUUGCAAUCUGGGCUACAUGCGGAGAACCUGGUUUCUCUCUCUCGCCCAGGGGAAAGUCCCCGGACCCGUGGCAGAAAGUGUCCCUGGUUGAAACCAGUCACGGCCCACGCUGUACCGUUCAUAAGCUGAGACGUUCACUUGAAUUGAGCUUGGUGAUCGUGGGCCGGCUUUGUCAGCGUUGAUAGUAAUGCAAGCAGUUACUAACGCGGAAACAGAACGGGGCUCAUUCUCGGAAUGCA